rnacentral:rRNA from 1 species
AGUGGGGGAUAACGUAGCGAAAGUUACGCUAAUACCGCAUAUGCCCUGAGGGGGAAAGGUGGGGAUCGCAAGACCUAUCGCUUUCGGAGUGGCCGAUAUCAGAUUAGCUAGUUGGUGGGGUAAAGGCYUACCAAGGCGACGAUCUGUAGCUGGUCUGAGAGGACGACCAGCCACACUGGGACUGAGACACGGCCCAGACUCCUACGGGAGGCAGCAGUGGGGAAUUUUGGACAAUGGGCGCAAGCCUGAUCCAGCCAUGCCGCGUGAGUGAAGAAGGCCUUCGGGUUGUAAAGCUCUUUCAGCCGGAAAGAAAUCGUGCAGGCUAAUAUCCUGCAUGGAUGACGGUACCGGAAGAAGAAGCACCGGCUAACUACGUGCCAGCAGCCGCGGUAAUACGUAGGGUGCGAGCGUUAAUCGGAAUUACUGGGCGUAAAGCGUGCGCAGGCGGUUUUGUAAGACAGAUGUGAAAUCCCCGGGCUUAACCUGGGAACUGCAUUUGUGACUGCAAGGCUAGAGUAUGGCAGAGGGGGGUAAAAUUCCA